GGUGGCUCAAUGGUAGAGUGCUUGCCUUGCAUGCAGGAGGUCCUGGGUUCGAUUCCUUAGCACCA
rnacentral:tRNA from 1 species